rnacentral:rRNA from 1 species
UGCGCAGGCGGGCUUGUGCGUCAGGGGUUAAAUACACCGGCUUAACCGGUGACCUGCCCUUGAUACGGCAAGCCUUGAGUGCGAGAGAGGAUGGUAGAAUUCCUGGUGUAGCGGUGAAAUGCGUAGAUAUCAGGAGGAAUACCAGUGGCGAAGGCGGCCAUCUGGCUCGCAACUGACGCUCAGGCACGAAAGCGUGGGGAGCAAACA